AGCUCUGCCGCCGGCGAGGAGUCCUGGAGGAGUUGGGGGGCAGACCUGGUGGGUCCUCUCUGGCUGCCAGUGGUAGGAAAGGAUGGACGAGCAAGUAAGCACGUUAGGGAAGAUGUCACAGCCUUUCUUUAUGAUUUGAAGGAAAAUAGCCAUAGCUAUUGCUGAAUGACUGGACGGAAAAUGCUAUAGGCUUUACCGAAUUUCUGCCGAUUUUUUUUUUUUUUUUUUUUAAUUUUCAGAUUUUCUGCGUUGCUUUCUUCCUUUAUUUUUCGGAGACACAGUUUCUCCGUGUAGCCUUGGCUGUCCUGGACUCGUUUUGUAGACCAGGCUGGCCUCGAACUCAGAGAUCCACCUGACUCUGCCUCCCUGAGUGCUGGGAUUACAGUGGUUUGCCACCGUGCCCGGCAUGUGUUGCUUCUUUUUAACUUUGGCAAAACCACAAACAAAUUAGCCCCAACACAAGUUAUUUUGAAAGAGGCUAGAGAGACAGUUCAAUGGUUAAGAAUGUAUACAGCUCUUGCGGAAGACUCUCAGAGUCCACCUCAGGAGAACCCCCAGCUCUCUUCUGAACCUCUUUGGGCACCAGCACUCACACGUGCAUAAAACUACACACUGAACUACGAUAUGCAAGUAAUCGAAAAUAAAAUAAAUCUAAAAAAUAUGCUAAAAGGAAAGCUGAAGAAGGGACGAGAAAAGGCAUUCUAUCGUGCAGAAAUGUCUAUGAAAGAAGAACACUAUCUGAACAUAGUGCCAGAGGCCUGUGAUCCCAGCAGCUGGGAUGAAGAGAAAAGUGGUUCAGAAAGCAAACGGACCGAAGACUAAAGAAAAGCGAAGCCUGCUGGUCUGACCUCCAAACAAUAAGCUGUUGUGGAUGAGACCUUCUGCACAUGAGAAAAAACUAACCACUUCGUAGACCGUUGAGAGUGCUGACAACAGUGGUGCCAAGCUGGAGGCCUGAGGGUUAAAGUUUUCAGCACACCAGAACAGACACGGGAAAUAUUCAUUAAAGGAAAUACUGCAGGGCUGGAGAGAUUGGUCAGCAGUUACAGAACCUGCUGUGCAAACAUGAGGACUGGAGUUCAGAUCUCCAGAAACCCCGGAAAUGCCAAGUGGGCAUGGUGGCCCACUGUGAUUCCAGCUGCGGAAGGCGCCUGGAUGACUGACAGGAGACUCAACACAACUGACAAGGCCACAGAAGCCCCAGAGGUAAUGUGUGUUUGCCUCUAGCCAUCCCAAACAAGGAUGUUCAACACAGUAAAUGAGCUACACUUGCUUGAAACCAGAACUUCUUGAAUCUCUCAUCCUCACACCUGCACAGGGUACCUCACAAAACCGCCUCAUAACUUCAGUUGCAAAAUGGAACUCUUUAGGAUGAGA